rfam:Myotis brandtii contig153461, whole genome shotgun sequence.
AGAGGCCCUCCUCGGUCGGGGUGGAACGCUUGCCUCGUCGCCAUGGCGAUGAAGCAAGCAUUCCACCAGGCCGCUCACACUGCCCGC